UAUUCACACACAAACUGACUGACUGCUGUAAACAGAUCAAGUGUUUUCUAUCACAGGCAAAGAGGGGGAAAAAAAAGACAUUCCUUCCAUUUUUGAGUGCUUUGCACUUCUAAGAGCAACUGAGCUCCCAGUAAAUUGGCAGCAUGGAUUGGUUAAUUUGGACAAGUCUAGAGAUGGGGGAGUUCAAUCUCCAGUGCCUUUGAGCCUGUACGACCUUUCAAAGUUCAAGUCUUACAAAAAAAAAAUCUCAUUUCUGACUCGCUGCCCAGGCCUUCAAACAACACAAAUCUUUUCCUUCUCCCUUUUGGAUUCUUACUGCUACAGCUCUGUGUGCAUGAAAUCCUCACUCUGGGGCAGCCUAACCCUGAGACCCUCAUUUGGGACACCCAGACUCAUUUUGGGGACACUCAGACCCUCACUGGGGACACCCAGACCCUCAUUUGGGACACCCAGACCCUCAUUUUGGGCACCCAGACUCAUUUUGGGGACACCCAGACCCUCAUUUUAGGGACACCCAGACCGUUUCUCUGAGUGGUAGCCCAGGGCAAGGCCGAGGGCCCAGGCCCACAGGCCCCACGCACUUGGCACAACCAGAAACAACCCAAAAGAUGGAAAAACGCCAUCAAAAACGCCAUCCCAGGGCCCUGUGAGGUCACACCCACACGGACACCUGGUUGUGGCCAUCCAGCACCGUUCCCAACACGCCUGUGAAGGACAGGUCUCUGUUAGCUGAGCCACUUCGUGCCUCAGGCCCAUGGAGGAGCAGCUGUUUCUGAUGGAUAACCCAGUGGAAAAGCAGAGGAAUUCUAUCAGCCACCUCCUGGAAGGUUAAAAACAUUGGGAGGGAUAAAUUUUCUGUUGCCCUGAAAUUUCUGUAGCCAGUCAGGCAUAAGAAAGCACACGCUGAAUCCAAAUUUUGCAUAUUCCAGGAAUGUGUCUAGGAUGUUUUCUGUCUUGGGAGCCCAGAAAUCUCCAGCAAUCACACAGCAACUAUCCUUGGAGUUUUCCAUGAUAAAUAGGGGCAAUAUGUUUCUUGUCAGAGGAGCUAUCUGCUUUAGGAUGGGACAGAUCAUCAUUUCAAAUGAAGCAAACAGAUCAUCAUUUCAAAUGAAGCAAACAGUACAAAAUAAGAAACAAAGGACUUUGCCUCUAAUUGGGAUUACAAGUUUGGAAGCAUGCUGUUAACUGAGCAGAUUAUUUUUGUCCUUAAUUACCUUCAUUCUUCUGGAAAACACCGAAUAUAUAUUCUUGCUCUCUUAAUAAACAAGGAUUUUUCAUAGCAUUAA